GGACUACAAGGGUUUCUAAUCCUGUUUGCUCCCCUAGCUUUCGUUCCUCAGCGUCAGUUGCGAUCCAGUCAGCCGCCUUCGCCACGGGUGUUCCUGCAGAUAUCUACGCAUUUCACCGCUACACCUGCAAUUCCACUGACCUCUCUCGCACUCGAGCACGGCAGUUUUGAAAGCAGCCUCUGGGUUAAGCCCAGAGAUUUCACUCCCAACUUGCCGCACCGCCUACGAACCCUUUACGCCCAGUAAUUCCGAGCAACGCUGGCCCCCUACGUAUUACCGCGGCUGCUGGCAC
rnacentral:rRNA from 1 species